rnacentral:misc_RNA from 1 species
CAUGGGAUAUACAGUCUUCUCACAGGCCUUGCAUUUCUGCUGGGUGCCAGUAAAAGACAUAGUCGCUGCUGAAGAAUCUGUAUACGUCUUAGAUCUGACUGCUCUUUUACCUCACCAAGAUCACCUACUAAUAAAAAAAUGUAAAAAAAAUAAAUACACAGAUCAGUUUUGCUAUAAAAUUUUUCUCUCUAAAACAAUCUUCACUGCUCAACAAAUUUUACAAAACCAAAAGAGAAAAUUAUCAA